GGGGUUGUUGCUCAGUGGUAGAGCACUCGCCUAGUAUGUGGGAGGCCCUUGGUUCAAUCCUCAGCACCA
rnacentral:tRNA from 1 species